GGGGCGCAGCAGGCGCGAAACCUUUACACUGCACGACAGUGCGAUAAGGGGACCCCGAGUGCGUAGGCAUAGAGCCUACGCUUUUGUACACCGUAGGGAGGUGUACGAAUAAGAGCUGGGCAAGACCGGUGCCAGCCGCCGCGGUAAUACCGGCAGCUCGAGUGAUGGCCGAUCUUAUUGGGCCUAAAGCGUCCGUAGCUGGCUUUUCAAGUCCGUCGGGAAAUCUCCCCGCUCAACGGGGAGGCGUCCGGCGGAAACUGAAGAGCUUGGGACCGGAAGGCGUGACGGGUACGUCCGGGGUAGGAGUGAAAUCCUGUAAUCCUGGACGGACCGCCGAUGGGGAAACCACGUCACGAGGACGGAUCCGACAGUGAGGGACGAAAGCUAGGAUCUCGAACCGGAUUAGAUACCCGUGUAGUCC
rnacentral:rRNA from 1 species